rnacentral:rRNA from 1 species
UACGUAGGGUGCAAGCGUUAAUCGGAAUUACUGGGCGUAAAGCGUGCGCAGGCGGCUAUGCAAGACAGAUGUGAAAUCCCCGGGCUUAACCUGGGAAUGGCAUUGGUGACUGCACGGCUAGAGUGUGUCAGAGGGGGGUAGAAUUCCACGUGUAGCAGUGAAAUGCGUAGAGAUGCGGAGGAACACCGAUGGCGAAGGCAGCCCCCUGGGCUGACACUGACGCUCAGGCACGAAAGCGUGGGGAGCAAACAGG